AAUCAUUGUUGAGAUAAUCAUUGUUUUCGUACUGGUUUGGAUUUUGAAGCCAAUAUGCAAUAGCAUCUUUCACAGAAUAAAAUUAAUCAAUGCUUAUAUAUUAUAAAAGCUUGUAGAGCUUGAGGGAGGCCCUGUCGUGACUGGUCGGAUGAAUAUUGGGCAUCGUGUUGAAAAUUCUUCCAAGGAAUUAAUAUACAUGGGAUUAUCAGCACAAAGCCAGAGGCUAAUAGUCUGCGAAGCUAAGAAGGUACUUGGCUACGCGGAGGGUGGAAAAUGAAAUAAAAUAGGGAAACUAUAGUCGGAGACUCGGAGUGGUGCACAACAGAAAAUAGAGCAUUAGAACAAUUACUUUGAAGACAUAUUUAAGAACAUCAGGACUCAACCUCUCCUCAAGCUUAUUAGUACAUAUACAAAUACUAAGGAUUCUAUUCAUUUCAUAUGUGAGUAUUGACUUGUGCAAAUCCACACUUUUUUGCUAGCCAACUUUGCUAUUUCACUUGGAAUCAUGUCAUUUUUGUUGUCAGUCCCAUAAUUGUUAUAUGUAUCGGCAUCAAGUUUAGCCCAUUGUACCUACAUGACGCUAUGAGCUUGCAAAUAUAGAUAUGGAUUGUUUUGCCUCUUCUUACUUCCUAAAAUGAAUUGUACAUAAGUUUGACUCUAAGCACUUGUAACAAAAUUCCUAUCUCAUAUGAUUCUGCUUAUACUUGUACAAAAGUCCAGUACCCAUCCAGAAUCUUACGUCAAUCGGUACUCAGUUCAAUUUUUCUCUUUUUUGCUAAUUAUGAUGUAAGUUUCUGAGAGUGUUGUUUGUGAUGCACCGAUUUCAAAUCAAUAAAAGGAGGUAAUCUAUAAUAACCUUGUGAGCAGAGGUAAUUUUAAGUUGAAGAUAUUUUCAUUAGUCAAGUUUGACUUCGCAGGGGC